UAAAAUGAAUCAUUCCUAACUGCUAUUGUAGGUGAGGCCCAUUAAUGAAUUUGGUCUGUGUGUGUUAUACUGCUGCUCAGUUUGAGGUUUCGCAAAUAAUCUUCUCAAUAACUUAAGGGUUUUAGAGAGUAUAUUAUUUAAUUUCCAGGUACUUGGGAUACUCUCAGCCUUCCUCUUUAUCUCUUAUUGGCUUCUACCAAUUUAUGGCAAAGUGCAAAUCUUUUUCCCUAACACAGUGUGAGGUGGAGUAGAACGCCAGUAAUAACUAUCAAAAAGUUCCAAUUCAAAGAAAAACCAAGCAUCCGCUAAGUCAAUAUCAGAGGUCUACUUAGUCAUAGUUCACAGAGGGAGGACAUUCACAUUGUUUGGGACCAGCCCACAGUCUUUACCAAGGCGGUUCCCCUCAGAGACAACAACACUUGCGCGAACACCAGCCCUCACGGCAGCUUGCUUCCCUGCUUCACCCACAGAUGGAUAGGCGGGACACCAAAGGAAUUCUGGGAAGAACCUUGUGUGGAUGCAAACAGCAGAAGCCGACUUGAUACGUGAGUGCCAGGGUGAGUGUUAUAUUCAACACACAUCUGUGGCUCUCCAUGUGCCUGGCACUCCUGUCCGAAUUUUACAAAUAGGGUCGCAGCCCGGGGCACACAGCACAAGACUGAGAUGUGGUAGCUGCAUCGCAACUCUGGAGCCCCCUCCCAGCUCCGGAGUCCCGCAGACGUAGACUGUGCAGAGUUGAUGCAGUGUCUGGAAGUCUGGAAUAUAUUUUCCCCCAAAUUCAACCCCCGAAAAGGUCGAGUAUAUCUGGUCCUGUCAAGGUGACCUGGCUUUUGCUGAACACCAAACGAGGGGCUGCUGGGAUCUGAGCUUGGUUGCCGGUGGACGCACUUUCUCGGAGUCCGGGAACAAUCUAAAGAUUGCAGCAGCUCCUAUCCCCACCCCCUCCUCCAAAAUGGUUCAAAAAAGGGCGGGGGGGGGGGGGGCGGGGGCAAUGGGCUGAAAUCUGGCCACUCACGUCCACGGUUCUAUUCACAAAACAGUUUCAAACUAAGUUAACCUCCGUAGGGUGUUUACCCCUCCCCUUCUAAUUGUCCCGGUUCCUCCUCCCUCUCUCCGUCCCAGGCUGUUUUAUGUCGCUCUGCGUUGUGCCAACUAUUUUAUCUUUAUUCCUUCUCUUUCUCUGUCGCCAUUCAUUCCCUUUUUGUGUGUGUGGCUUCUGGGGCCGAUGCGCGGCUCGUUACCACCCACUGCAAACUCGCUCCUGUCGCUGAGGUGUUUCUAUACAAACUGGAGCGUCCAGUUGUCAUAUUAAUUAUUACACCGAGUAAUGACUGAAAUGGUCAAAAUAAGGGGAGACUCAAGAGCGCUUUUUCCUGCUGCUCAAAGACGCAGCAAAAGAAGCCGUGCAACAAAGCGCUAAUUGGUCCCCAGAAACAGUCUGACAAGGCAUGGAAGAUAGUUUUCACAGAGCCCCGUGAUUGUGCGGGGGCGGCUCUGAAUGGACUCCACGCUUCUUUUCUAAACUCGCUUGCUGAGCAAAAAAAUGGACCUCUGUUUGAAUACUGCCCUGAUCCUUGAAUGCUAUACCCAGCAGAGAAAAAAAAUGCACCAUUUAUUGUAAGUUUUCUCCCCCCUUCUCAAGCUAUUCAGGGGUUCUCUGUGAAGAAUCAGCUGGUUUUGUUUAUGGUGAAAGACCUUGGCUUUGUUUUCAUUCUUGGAGGAGGUGCUGAGGGGGAGGGAAGAAGAACCAUGUGCCUAGACAGAGCUGGGCGAGCCUACUGUAACAACAAAAUAGAGUGUAACAAAUCCUACAAAAGUUUAGAAUGUAUUGAUUCUUUGGAGAGCUAUAUAGAUUAACGACUUUUCUUUAUGCUUACCCAAGGAAGGUAUUUAAUCAUAAUGUAAAUGGGGCUUUAGAAAAAAAAUAAAGAGUUAGCAUUAGUUCUUCUCAUUUGGAGAACUUCAAAAGACCCUGUGAGGGUGCCUGCAAAUUACUCCGCCCCCACCUUUCUUCCUUAUCCAAAAAGCCACAAUAAAAUAUACUUGGUG